UGUCCGCGAGCAGAGGAGAUGGAGAGCGGGUGCUUGAGGAGCGGCGGCGGCGGUGGACGCAGCCGGCGAAGGCCGCUGGAGGCUGCGGCACGUCGUGCGAGGGCUCGAGGAGUGCCAGGCUCGGAGGGAGGGGAGGCUGGUCUAAGAGGCGAGGGCAGGAGAUGGCGGGCGAACGUUGGGGUGGGUGCACCGAUCCCAAGGCCCGUCCCGAAGCGGCCGAGCAGAGGCCGCCGGGGUCAAUAAACCGAGUAGCAGCAUAACGUUCAAAGACUGUAGCGACAUGUGACAACUGCAGCGGCCUUUAGGCAGACGUGCAUGAGGUGACAGGCGGCCUUGAAACAGGCUGGACUCUGGUUACGAUAUACCAAGGUGAGAUGGGACCGAUCCGGGUGCUCUCGGUCGUUCGGCCGCCGUCGUCCCUACCGGCCUAUCUCGGCGUACCUGAGUUACUGAGUCUCCUCCCAGCCUCCCCCACCGGACAUGCACCUCCUACUAAGUGUGUGCUCAACCGUGCGGGUUGUUUACGUAAUCAAACCGAGAACGUGAUCUCUUACUAUCUACCACAUAUGACUGUCUCCCCCUUCUUAAGACAUCGUAUGACACGUUCUAGAAAUAAAUGUGGUUCCUCCUCCAGGUCUUCUACUUAAGCUUUAGUAGGACACGGGUUCUUUCCUCCUUCAAGGUACCUACCACUAACACGUUUGUUCUUCCGUGUAGAGUGUGUAGUACGUUAAAUCUAUUGAUUGAUUGAUCGCCAACGUGGAAGAUGUUGUCACUCGGGCUCGCCGUAGUCUAAGUCUAACAGGGUACUUCCAAAGCUCUACCUCCGGACACUCCUCCUAAAAUCCCCUCUAGUAUGAUACUGAUACUGUUCUCCGACUCUAAACUGAACGUGACAUAACUUUUCGUCCAAGUCCUCGAGGUUCGGUUAUUUGCGGUCUCGAAACUUUUUCUACAUUCUAAAGAUGAAAGAUCGAAAAAAGUGUUUUAAACGACAUCUGAAAAUAAGACAUACCGUCAGCCCAAACAAUAUCCUUACUCGAUAUUUGGAAAACAAGUUAAAACAAACUCUAUCUUAUGUUUAAUACACACUAUAAGUUUCAAAUAUCUCGUACUGGUGUCGUUUUUUUCCGCUAGUUGUAUCCGUUAUACAAAAGACAAUUGUUAAGUUAAAGAAAAAAAUUAAGUUACGGACUUUAAUAAGGUUAAACGUCACGUAUGAACGGCGAUUAAUUCUUGAUGUCUAUAUACGAAAGUGUACGUCAGUACCGAAACGAUUGUACAUACACAGUCAAGUCUUUAUGGAGUAUCACAAAGCUAAGAACCGAAGUCCCUUUUUCACUAUCUAACGUUUUUAUAAAUAGACAUAUUCUCCUAUCUACAUAUAAAUAGAUUCUCCUAUCUACAAGCAUGAACGUCUUGAUGUCAAACGUAAAGUCAGGUAGUAAGUAACAAUGAACUCAUAAAGAGUACAAAGCGACUAGAGGAUCCUAACAUCUUCGAAAAACACACAAAAGAGUGACCUCGUCGAGAGACGCGGAAUACUUUCAUCAAACCUUUAUACUCACUCUUCACAACAUAAAAAUACAAAAAACAAUUAAAGCCCCCUCUUCUCUUGAGGUCAAAACCGUUACAAGCACUAAGUCUAAGUGGUACUAACUAUGACAUGUUACGGUAUGUUAUAAAUGCAUAAGGGUAGUACUUGAUAAAGUAGGAUAAAAACAAAGCCAUUUCAUGUUACAAGGAUAAUUCGACAUCAUCAACUUUAAAACACAUGUCAGUUUACAUUAAAUGGUAACCUCUGAAAUGUGUACACAUUCUUUUAAUUUUUAUAUUGACAGAUAUGUAUGUACAUUUUUAUAAUUUAUGAUAUUUACACUUUGACGUCCUACGCAAUUAUAAAAUAGUAGUACACUGGAUAAUUAAAACUUGGCAGGCCGGUGUGUAAAUAAGGUUUGGCGUAUAUACCGUAGGCUCUUCCUUCUUAGACUCGCCCUUCAUGAUGUGCUGCUAAGAACUCUCCUUGUUCAGCUGCUCCUGUGGUUACUACUAUUGAGAUAGCAGCAAGACGUGGGCCUGUUGUACCUAUUCUACGUUGAGAAAGAACCGACACUUAGCCAGCUACCAACUGUUCUUGUGGUUACCGCUGUGAGUAACACCGAAAUGUGAGCCUGUGGUACCUGUACAACAUCGAGAAGGCACCGCUCCCUACGUGACGGAUAAGAUAAGAGGUAGUGCAGGUUAUCUUUCGUUCCCUGCCCAUCAAACUAGGAAUUGCCAAAGUACAAAAGAGAGGUCAACUUUGCGUGUACGAAACUACCACCGCGAGAGAGCUCCUUCCAUCGAUUUCAAAAACCGUUCUCAGACAGGGUAGAAAAUAACAUAUAGUUACAUGAUAACCAACUCGUUUGUCGUUUCGUUCCGUCUUCUACUACUUGUACUUUUACACCCAUUUUCCUUCAGGUUAUAAGAAAGACGAUGUUCAUGUCUUUCCUUACCCUAUCUUGACAUUUAAGACCGUACUUCAUCCUACUCAUACGAUAACAGCACAUCACGUUCGGACCCACCAACCCUCUACUACGUGUGUCUGUACACCUCUGUUACGCUAGGUGGUUCCGCCUUCGAGUAGUUUGCCUAUCCCAAUCGAAGUUUCUGCUUCUUCAGGCUACGAAAAGGGGACGGCCUGUAGGAAUUACGGCAGGUACGCCAAAUCUGGAAUGUUUCACAUUAAAAAAAGAGGGCAACGUUGCGUGCCCGAAAAAACGAUCAAUUAAAAUUAAAAAUUAAAGAAAGGGAUGAUUAUUUGGUCGCUAGCGAAGACCAGCAGGCAGUAGUCCGUAAAACGUUUCUUCAGGGAGUUAAACAGUCUUAAGGGAUAGGGAUAUAUAUAUAUGAUUAUUUGGUCGCUAGCGAAGACCAGCAAGCAGUAGUCCGUAAAACGUUUCUUCAGGGAGUUAAACAGUCUUAAGUUGGGCGUCAGGAUAGAAUUCACCUAUAGACUCUUUUGCAAAGUUAAAACGUGUUUUGUGGGACCGCAAACCUCAUAAGUUGCGCGCCAGGCUCGUCGAAACAUUUCUCUUUUUUUGUGUUGGUGUGUGCGUACCCGAGCUGAGGAGAGGGAGAGCGGGUGCUUCAGUGGCGGCGGCGGCGGGUGCGGCCGGCGAAGGCCGCUCGAGGCCGCGACGCGUCGUGUCGGGGCUCGAGGGGUACGAGGCGCGGAGGGAGGGGAGGCCGGUCUAAGAGUAGAGGACCGGAGAUGGCGGGCGAGCGUUGGUGUGGGGGCACCGAUCCCAAGGCCCGUCACGAAGCGGCCACGCAGAGGCCGCCGGGGUCUACGUCUACCUCGUGCGGUACCCUCAAGGGGUAGGUGGUACCAGCGACAGCAGUUCCCGAAGAGGUUCCUCUACACUUCCUGCGGUAGCUGGACGUCGAUGAGUUCCAGAGUUCGCCGCUGUCAUGGGCCGUUGUGCUCAUGUCCCUCACAAAAAUGACCAAUGCAGGUUUCACCUCUUGAUUCUUGUUGUCGGAGUUCCUUUGAUAUGCCUCUCUCGAUCCUCCUAACCAAAGGUCAGGUCCUCACUCGAGUACAGAAAACUAAACUUUACUUUGCGGGUGACCCUCUCCAGACGUCGACGACGAAAGCACUCCGACCAGUACCUCCCCGCGUACGGGACUCCACCCACCCACAAUCGAUACUGCUCUUUUGUAUACUUCAAAGACGAUAACAAUUCGGACUACAGCUUCUCAACCUUUACUAAACACUUAGAGACACGUGCAUUUACCUUGUAACCUGUUCAAUUCGGUACACAUAAGGUAGAGGAAAUUAUAUAACGAACACUAACCGGAUUAUCUCUCAGACGUUCUGCACUAAACAUGAGUUUCGUAGAGUAGGUCUAGUGAAAUGUUAUGAAAAGAAGUAUAGAUCUUUUACGUACAUACGUAUAUUCAAAGCACUUGUUAAAAAAACUUAUAGGUCCAGUGAAAUACGUAUAGGUCUAGUGAAAUGUUUGUCUUGUUUACGCACAUAAGGAAAAAGUAGUAUAGGUAUAGAUCUUUUCGUAAGGAGGUACAUUAUCCCAAAAACUUUCGUCAUACGUAUAUACAAAGCACUUGUUAAAAAAAAACAAUAACGUUGGUAUUCUUUCUUAGAAUGACCUAACAGGACCUUUUAUAAUCAGUAGAUAACGGCUAUUGAUCUAGGCACAAUUGAGUUAUCCCACUAGAUCGCUCAAUAGAACUCUGUUUUUCAGCGGACGCUAGAAUAUUUCACUAGUCUAAACGGGGACUCUGACGUUCCAUACAAUCCUAAGUAUUGUAUACAUAGAAGAAAAGGAUAAAAAAAGGAAAAUUUCGACAUUGAUGGUAAACUCUUAACUGAAUUUGACGAGCGUAAUCACGUAGUAAAACAUAAGUGGACUUUUAUUACAUCGUAACUGACUUUGACGAGUGGUAAACUUCAUAACUGACUUUGUGAUGGUAACUUCAUAAAAGAAAUAAAAAAACUGAUCUUUUCGUACUUCUACUUAAUUCAACUAAGUACAUCUACUUUACCAAAAGGUAAAGGUAAACACAGCAAAGUCACUUUGUUUUACUAUAACGUCGAGAAAAGUAAAUACAGAACAAAGUAACGUAAUAAUAGAAGGUACUAAAGAAAAAGUGGUUAUGUAAAACAACGUAUAUACCUCCGGUAGAUGAAAAGACGACUAUAAACAAUAAUAUAGUAGAACAAACGCUUGAAUUUUUCCAGGGAGUUUCUCUUCGCAAAAAGUACACGAGGACUUAGACCACACGCCAUACUACCUCAAAUGUCUAACUCUUGACAACCUCCUUCUGACCAUAAGUCGCGGCAACCGGCGAGACGGAUGGCUCACGGUGGGGCGGCGGAGGAGGGUGGGGGGUGGACCCUGGAGUGGCGGACGAGGGGCGGGCCGUGUGGGUGUUGCGAACUCCGACUCGUCUACGGUAACCGGGCACCCGUGCCUUCGUCUCAGGUCCUACCACUACCACGGUUCCUCCUGAGAGCCUGCAGCUGGCCAACGUAGCAACGACGGCAUAGGUACCUCACCGCCGAGGUUGGUGAGACUCUACUCCUUAGUCAUGUUGUUGUCUUGAACUUCGACUGUUCCUACCUACUACCAACCAAAACCACCUCUCUAGCCCACGUAUACUUGUUGGAUAAUAGAAGGAAAAAACAAAAAGUAGUAAGUUGCCCUGUUAAAGGAUUAAGAAAAAAUCAUGACAGACUUUUCCAAUAAUCAUGUAUAUCCAAACAGUUUUAAAUAAUCGUGUAUACUCCAAGAAACAAACCUGGGGGAAACCGAGAUGUAUUAAGAAACCUCACCCUAAGAUCUAUCUACGAAAAUAACUAAAAGAGGGUAACGUUGCAUGCCCAUACAAAUGACAUUAUUAUUUCAGUCUUCCUCUUCCCGCUCCAGGUCUACCUCGAGAUGGUCAAGGCGGCGAAAAUAUAGAGCUGACAACGACGAUCGAGAUGAGACGAGUUGCUAUUUAAGACACACCAAUCAAUUAAAUGAUCCAUUUAACGUAUCGAGUCAUCGUACGUGUGUACUUGCGAGUUCAAUGUACAAACCAGUCGGUAAGGGACCGUCGGAUACCGAUCCGAAGGGUCUUCUAAGGAAGAUGUAUUGUGUACAAUACACAACGGCUCAGCAUGUCGACGUACUUAACCCG
rnacentral:rRNA from 1 species